CGUGCGGAUCGGGUCAUCGCUCCGUCGCGUCUCGACUGUAGCCGGUCGGGGCGGCGGUGAGAAAAGUCCGAACACCACAGGGCACCGUGCUUCCUAACGGGAAGGCGCCCCGACAGUAGUCGGGACGACGGCACGUGCAACAGAGAGCAGUCCCGCCCCGAAAAGCCGGUCCCGACUACCGUCGGGGCUGUCGGGGCAAGGGGUGAAAGGGUGCGGUAAGAGCGCACCGGCGUUCCGGGUCGGGAACAAGGUUGCCCGCCGAGUCAUCGGUGCAGGUAGGCCGCUUGAGACGGUCGGCGACGGCCGUUCCAGAUAGAUGAUGACCUCCCCGCCGGCCCGGGUACGGCCCCGGACGCGGGCAGACCGAAUUCGGCUUACAGAUCCGCACGUCCC
rnacentral:RNase_P_RNA from 1 species